GAAAGAAAAAAAAUAAGAUAUACCAGAAUUAUUAAAAACUUCUUUCAGUUCUUCAUGUUCAGUUAAUCUUGUACUUGUUCCCAUGUUGUUGGAUUAGUACAUACUAUUUGUCACUACCAGAGUUUAAACUUAAAAGAGGUACCAUCAGAGCUAUCUGUAUCAAGUUUCUCACAACAAUGGCACAAACCAAGAGGGAGGAAAAUAAAAGCACAACCAGUAGUUUCAAUGACUCUUGCAAAUCCGACAACACCUUCUUCAGAGAAAAAGAGAAAACCAGUGUUUACAGAAAUUCCGCAGGUUGAUUUACCAGGUUCAUCAUCAAGUGCAAUUUUAUAACUCAAGGAGGAGGAUGAAAUUCCACUGAGUUAUUUACUGCAAGAAAAUGCAACCACAAUCGACACAAGGCUUGGCAAAGUUCAGACUGGGGCCUUACUGUAUUUUCAUGUAAGUAAAAUAUAAUCAGAAGUUCAGACAUAUUUUAAUU
rnacentral:lncRNA from 1 species